AAUUUUGAUUAGAUAAAUAUCAGUAAUAUAAAUAUUCAUGCAAACACGAAUUUUUAAUACAACAAAGGAUUGUUAUUGAUAGUAACGUAGGUAAUAACAGAUAAAAUAUACGGAUAGAAUGUAAAAAAAAAGAAAAAAUAUUAUUUUAACUUAGUGGCCAAUUUAAGUGAAUGGUAGAUAUAGGUCUCUUGCCGCCCCCCUUUAGGCCUGCAGCGCCCAUAAGGGGGCGUUAUCGGCCACUUUGGAAAAGGCUGGAGUAAACCAAUCUGAUACAUGGCACUGCAACCGCAACAUAGCUGCCACAAACAGCAGCGACGGUGAUAAAGCGACGAUAACUCAAUGGCAACUUAACCUUGACCUCUGAUAGACUCCAUUAUACUCUAACAUAAAUAUACCAACAUCCAAUAUACCCUAUGACGUCGACCUCUACGCGAUUCACCCUAGAAACUAUCGUGGUUAAUUUUUGUAGAGUUCGUGACGAUGGGCUAAUUGAUCUGCUUUCAUCUUCAACUAAUAUCUUUUAAAAUUGCCUUGUUAACGUAUACUAAUAGUGCAGAGUCGGUGACAACUGUAUUUUAAUCCAUUAAAAAAAUGAAGACAACACUUAAUACCAAAACGAUCCAUCAUACAUUCAUUAGCAUAAAGUUUUUUUUUUUUUUUUUAUUGAACCUGAUUCUACUCAUCUACGGUUUUAGAAGAAAACUAAAGAUAUAAAAAAUGUGGAAACGCUGCACUCGUUACGGGGCCCUUUAGGUCGGGUACGGAACAUGAAAAUUGUUUUGACUGAUUGUUAGUUUAAAAUUAGAUUAUUUUAUAAUUUUAUUUUAAAUUCACAAAUUAACAUUUUUAGAUUAUUUAUUGUGUAUAUAAUUUUUAGUACAUGUUCAUACUGUUGGUUUUAUGUUUUCAAUAACAAUAAAUUAUAUAUAUGUAUAUAAAAAAAAACAUUUUAGAUACCCAAAAUUGCUGUAAAAUUAACAGUAAGUCACGGUUGCCGACUUGUGUUCCUCGCUGAACUUACAUAAACCAAAUGCAUAACGCGAUAGGUCUAAAAAUAAAAUAAUAAACAACAGUAAAGUUAAAAAACUGUACGGGCUUUCAAUUAACACACUCCAUAGACAAAUCAUUCAUUGUAACGUUUUGGAUUCCUGCCAUUGGAUCGGUCAAUGACCGUAAAAAGUUGAAAUGUAGCCGAGGCAUAGUCAUUACAUAAAAUUAUAUUGACGGAAUUUUGUUUUUUGACUUUAAAGACAUAAGCCUUUAAAGUCGAAGAUAUGACAAAAAACAACUAGUUCGUAAUUUAGUUGCGUUCAUUGUACGAGUUGAAUAAAAAAUUUAACUGUAAUAAUACCCUAUAACGAAUAGAUUCAAUGUCAAGAACAACAUCGUUCUAUAAAUUAUACAGCAUAGAAAAGGAAGGACUCAAGAUGAAAUAAUGUUAUCAAAUAUUCUUUUAUAUUCCGAUCAAUAAGAGAUCUUAUGAAAAUAGGAAGGUAAUAAUGUUAUCUCAAAGUUUAAGAAGCUAUCAUUUGUAAUGUAGGCUAGUGUUAUUUUAAAAUCACGUCGAUAAAUAGCAUAUUAAUUCUUAUCCAGAGUUCUUAUCAUGCAAUAGGUUAAUUAUCUGAAUUGCAACUAUAAAAUACUAUUAAAACCACACGAUUUCACUUGCGUAUUUUAAUAACAUAAAUAAAUAUAUAAACAUUAUAAGAAAGAAAAAUAAACUCACGAUUCUCUGGAAACGGUGUGAAAAAAUAAAAUGGUGAAGAAUUCCAGUUUGCUUCGCAAAAAAAAAACAUCUACUUCAAUCAAUCGUGUCGAAACAGUAAUGAACGCUGAGAUACAACUAUUAAUUACAAAUGUGGUUCAUAAUUGGCAAAAAUAUCGCAUAAAAUAAUCACAAAAAAAAGAAUUAGACUAAUUGAGAUCCUCUUUUUCGAAUUCAUUUGAAAAUCAAUCAAACCACUUAUUAACACUAAAAAUAUCUCACUAACACUUCUGAAAAGGAGGAUAUGAGCCAUACACGCCUACGUGGCAAACAUUACAAUGAAUUGUACAAAAGAACCGAGGUACUCAAUUCGAACCCUUUAGUAAUAGAGAAUAUAUGUACCUACAUAUUGAAUGAGUGUUUGCAAAGUGCAUAUGUAAUGUUAGGGUUCGCACAAAAUUUAUUUAAUUACCAUUUUCUUAGUAAUUUACAAAUAAGUUGCAAAUUCAAAUUUCCUUACAAAUUUUCCUUACCUAAAAAUUCCUUACAAAUUCUCCUUCAAAAAUAGAAUUAGGAUACUCUUGUAUCUUAAUUCAUCUGAGCAAAAUUUUAGAAGUCAACGUAGACAUAAUUCACUGACCAAAGCACAUUGUUCUGUGGCGAAAUAAACGAGAUUCAAUUUUAGUAAGUUUACAAAUUGAUACUAGCCAUUUAUGUUGAUAACCCUAAUAAAACAAAAUGCUCAACUAGUACAUAUUACAAUACGCAAAUGGAAGAGCAUUACCUAGUUAAACAGAGAAAUGGUAAUUCAUAUAAGCCGUUUUAGAAAUUGUCUGAAAGUGUGUGUAAAUUGCGAAUUGCACAAAACCUUGUCUAUUGUAUGUAAAUUUUUUCCUUAUAAUUUGAAAAGGGAAAAAUUCUAAACUUUAGUGGUUCUUAUAAAUAUACCUAUUACCUAAUAUAUAUUUUCACCGUUAAGAGUCCAUUUUAAAAAAUUUUUACUGAAUGAAUGAAAAAUAGAUUCCGUUAAAUCCAUAUUUAAAUAAUGUAUCGUGGACAGUUCGCCAUAAUAUCUGACCAUUUUUACGAGAAACUUCACACAAACAGGAGCUUGUGUUAAAAUUUCUGAAAGCAAAUUCUAUAAUACCUUAGUUUUGGCUGCACUACGUAGAUAUUUAUUUAAAUCAUACCAGAGGUAGACUUUGUACAAAAGUCGUUUGCGUGGGUACCUCUGUCCCAUUCGUGUUUCAACCGUAAAGCAGUUGUUUGCAUGGCUGUUUCGGUUUGAAGGGUGGGAUAUAGCGUGAAUUUAUAGGGUACACAGGAAUAACACCCGAAUCCUCAAGAAUGGCAACGUAUCGGGAGUAUCAUAGACCAAACAGUAUACUCUGUUAUGUCCAUGGUACUGCUCAUGUCUAUAGGCGCCGGUUACCACUUUCCAUCAGGUGGGCCGUCAGCUUGAUUGCCAUUCUAAAUUGUAUAAAAAAAAUGUAAACAAAUAUAAUAAAUAAUCUUUAAAUAAACAAUUAUGUCAUUUUUCACGAUUCUAUAGCAGCAUUCUAUAUCAUCAUAUCAGCCGUUAACUGAUAGGGGUUUGCCAAUAAUUGCAGGGUUUGGAAACCAGGUUGGUUACCGCAGUUAGGCUUUUAGAGAUGUUUUAAAAGGGACGCAUCUUAUGACUUCAACAGAAAGGAAGAAUUCGGCAAUUACUUUCAGAUUUAUUAGGUUGCUUGACUAUACAAAUAAUAUAACAUAGCUUUUACAUGUAGGUACAUACAUUAUAGUGAGAAUAAGUUGCGCAAGAUUAACUAAAGAUAUCACGAAUUUAAAUACGCAUAUUUGUAAUGUAAAUUUAUGUGGCUCCGGACCAUUUCUUUGAAUAUAACAUUCUAAUUCUUAUUAUUCAGUCUAUGGGGGAGGUCUAUGUUCAACAGUGUUCAAUUUACGGCUGAUUUAAUAAUGAUGAUUUGCAAUUUAACGUUGUCAUACGAUGAGUAUUAUUACUCAAACAGGUGUAAAAAAUGUUACAAUUAUACGACCUGCAAUGACUUCACACAAGUGAAUACGUAUAUCGCUCACUAUAAUGUAGCUUUUUAUAUGUAACAAAAGUUUUAAAAUUGAUAAAGUAUUUUUUUAUUUAUCCAUUGCAACAAAACAAAAUCUUUGCAUUUUGAUGGCAAUCUGUGGUGACGUUGCUCUUAAAAUAGAUGUUUCGUUAUGUUAAAACUUACAUACAGAUACAAAGCCUUAACCUUUUAACCGACCUAGUCGCGUUUUUCAGUAGAGAAUUGUUUUUGUUUCUACAACUUCUUAUUACACAAUCAGACAAAAUAUAAAACCAAAUAUUUGACAUAUUUUAAAAUUAGGUAAUACAGUAAAAAUUACAGUAUUACAUUAAAAAUUAUUAAAAAAAAAAUCGUGUAUAACAUAAAGUUGCCAAUUUGAAUUGAGUUAAAAUAUAAUUAUAUUUUACCUACUAGUUGUACUCGCGACGUCAUUUACGUGACUAGAAGAUAUUGAUUUACUGGGAUAAAAACAUUUCUCCAAUGUAAGCCAAUAAGUAUAAAAUACUACAAUUAACACAUCUAAAAGUAACAAAAAAACAGAGUCCCAUUUAAAAUAUUAGUAUUUAUCAAUAAUGAAAUUGCAGCAUUCUUAUUGGAUUUAUAUAUGAGCACAUAGACAAACAAAGCAGACAUCUUAUAUUACAAGUAUGCCUGAAUGAAUUUUAUGCAUCAGUUAUUUUAAUGUGAAGGGCCAAACCUUCGCCAGUGAACUGUAAUUAAUAUUACAGCACACCUUAAAAAAGAGAAGACAUCUAUUAUUUAUACUGCUACAUAAUAAGCAUACCUACAAAAUUAGACCAACUAAAGUAUUAAACAUAAUUUGAUUGGAUUUGUCCAAAAAAAGAUAAUGAAAAAUACUAUAUGAGAAAAUACUAUAUCACACUGAGUACAUAUUUAAGUCCAGUAAACUUCCUAAUCCUACUUAAUUGCAACAACUAAUUAAUUACUAGUAUAUUAUAAUAAUUAUAUAGUUACUGUGUUGUGUUUAUUUGCCUCUAAGAGAAAAAAAAAUAGUGAUUUGAAUAAAUAAAACAUUAAUAACAAGUCUAAACAAUAUAUUUAUAAGAGACAUAUUUUUGCUUUUACUAAAAUCACUUAGAUUUUUUUUUAUAUUAGCAUUUUAUUAAGGAUUUUCAAAAUUAAAUAUCAAUAUAUACUACUAGUUUAUACUUGCAUAUAUAAUAUUAUAUUAAAGUAAAACUAUGCAAUUAUUUAUGAAAUCUUUAAUUGAUGUGGAACACAUGUUUGCCUUAUCAAAAAGUAAAUAAACUGUAAACUUGUAUUAUCAACAAAAUAUUUUAUUUUUGUACAGCUUGAAUGAAAGUAGUAAAAGUA